rnacentral:rRNA from 1 species
AUGCAACGCGAAGAACCUUACCUGGUCUUGACAUCCACGGAAGUUUUCAGAGAUGAGAAUGUGCCUUCGGGAACCGUGAGACAGGUGCUGCAUGGCUGUCGUCAGCUCGUGUUGUGAAAUGUUGGGUUAAGUCCCGCAACGAGCGCAACCCUUAUCCUUUGUUGCCAGCGAUUAGGUCGGGAACUCAAAGGAGACUGCCAGUGAUAAACUGGAGGAAGGUGGGGAUGACGUCAAGUCAUCAUGGCCCUUACGACCAGGGCUACACACGUGCUACAAUGGCGCAUACAAAGAGAAGCGACCUCGCGAGAGCAAGCGGACCUCAUAAAGUGCGUCGUAGUCCGGAUUGGAGUCUGCAACUCGACUCCAUGAAGUCGGAAUCGCUAGUAAUCGUGGAUCAGAAUGCCACGGUGAAUACGUUCCCGGGCCUUGUACACACCGCCCGUCACACCAUGGGAGUGGGUUGCAAAAGAAGUAGGUAGCUUAACCUUCGGGAGGGCGCUUACCACUUUGUGAUUCAUGACUGGGGUGAAGUCGUAACAAGGUAACCGUAGGGGAACCUGCGGUUGGAUCACCUCCUUACCUUAAAGAA